rnacentral:rRNA from 1 species
GAUGAACGCUGGCGGCGUGCCUAACACAUGCAAGUCGAACGGAGAUUACGGACGGAAGUUUUCGGAUGGAAGCCUGUAAUUCUUAGUGGCGGACGGGUGAGUAACGCGUGGGCAACCUGCCCUAUACAGGGGGAUAGCAGCUGGAAACGGCUGGUAAGACCGCAUAAGUCGGUUAAAUCGCAUGAUUUGAUCGGGAAAUGAGCAAUCAGGUAUAGGAUGGGCCCGCGUCCGAUUAGCCAGUUGGCAGGGUAAAAGCCUACCAAAGCGACGAUCGGUAGCCGGACUGAGAGGUCGGACGGCCACAUUGGGACUGAGACACGGCCCAAACUCCUACGGGAGGCAGCAGUGGGGGAUAUUGCACAAUGGAGGAAACUCUGAUGCAGCGACGCCGCGUGAGUGAAGAAGUAUUUCGGUAUGUAAAGCUCUAUCAGCAGGGAAGAUGAUGACGGUACCUGACUAAGAAGCCCCGGCUAACUACGUGCCAGCAGCCGCGGUAAUACGUAGGGUGCGAGCGUUGUCCGGAAUUACUGGGCGUAAAGAGCUCGUAGGUGGUUUGUCGCGUCGUCUGUGAAAUUCCGGGGCUUAACUCCGGGCGUGCAGGCGAUACGGGCAUAACUUGAGUACUGUAGGGAGACUGGAAUUCCUGGUGUAGCGGCGAAAUGCGCAUAUAUCAGGAGGAACACCGGUGGCGAACGCCGGUCUCUGGGCUGUAUCUGACACUGACGAGCGAAACAUGCGCAGCGAUCUGGACUA